ACGGAAGGCAGCAGUGGGGAAUAUUGCACAAUGGGCGAAAGCCUGAUGCAGCGACGCCGCGUGAGUGAAGAAGUAUCUCGGUAUGUAAAGCUCUAUCAGCAGGGAAGAAAAUGACGGUACCUGACUAAGAAGCCCCGGCUAACUACGUGCCAGCAGCCGCGGUAAUACGUAGGGGGCAAGCGUUAUCCGGAUUUACUGGGUGUAAAGGGAGCGUAGACGGUUUGGCAAGUCUGAAGUGAAAUGCGGGGGCUCAACUCCUGAACUGCUUUGGAAACUGUCGAACUAGAGCGCAGGAGAGGUAAGUGGAAUUCCUAGUGUAGCGGUGAAAUGCGUAGAUAUUAGGAGGAACACCAGUGGCGAAGGCGGCUUACUGGACUGUAACUGACGUUGAGGCUCGAAAGCGUGGGGAGCAAACAGGAUUAGAUACCCUGGUA
rnacentral:rRNA from 1 species